GCAUGUCGUGGCCUACUGGUUAGCGCUUCGGACUUGUAACCGGAGGGUUGCCGGUUCGAAUCCCGACCUGUAGGCA
rnacentral:tRNA from 1 species